rnacentral:rRNA from 1 species
GUCGAAGAUACCAGCUGGCUGCAACUGUUUAUUAAAAACACAGCACUGUGCAAACACGAAAGUGGACGUAUACGGUGUGACGCCUGCCCGGUGCCGGAAGGUUAAUUGAUGGGGUCAGCGCAAGCGAAGCUCUUGAUCGAAGCCCCGGUAAACGGCGGCCGUAACUAUAACGGUCCUAAGGUAGCGAAAUUCCUUGUCGGGUAAGUUCCGACCUGCACGAAUGGCGUAAUGAUGGCCAGGCUGUCUCCACCCGAGACUCAGUGAAAUUGAACUCGCUGUGAAGAUGCAGUGUACCCGCGGCAAGACGGAAAGACCCCGUGAACCUUUACUAUAGCUUGACACUGAACACUGGUCCUUGAUGUGUAGGAUAGGUGGGAGGCUUUGAAGUGUGGACGCCAGUCUGCAUGGAGCCGUCCUUGAAAUACCACCCUUUAAUGGCUGGUGUUCUAACGUGGGCCCGUAAUCCGGGUUGCGGACAGUGUCUGGUGGGUAGUUUGACUGGGGCGGUCUCCUCCUAAAGAGUAACGGAGGAGCACGAAGGUUGGCUAAUCCUGGUCGGACAUCAGGAGGUUAGUGCAAUGGCAUAAGCCAGCUUGACUGCGAGCGUGACGGCGCGAGCAGGUGCGAAAGCAGGUCAUAGUGAUCCGGUGGUUCUGAAUGGAAGGGCCAUCGCUCAACGGAUAAAAGGUACUCCGGGGAUAACAGGCUGAUACCGCCCAAGAGUUCAUAUCGACGGCGGUGUUUGGCACCUCGAUGUCGGCUCAUCACAUCCUGGGGCUGAAGUAGGUCCCAAGGGUAUGGCUGUUCGCCAUUUAAAGUGGUACGCGAGCUGGGUUUAGAACGUCGUGAGACAGUUCGGUCCCUAUCUGCCGUGGGCGCUGGAGAACUGAGGGGGGCUGCUCCUAGUACGAGAGGACCGGAGUGGACGCAUCACUGGUGUUCGGGUUGUCAUGCCAAUGGCACUGCCCGGUAGCUAAAUGCGGAAGAGAUAAGUGCUGAAAGCAUCUAAGCACGAAACUUGCCCCGAGAUGAGUUCUCCCUGAGACUUAGAGUCUCCUGAAGGAACGUUGAAGACGACGACGUUGAUAGGCCGGGUGUGUAAGCGCAGCGAUGCGUUGAGCUAACCGGUACUAAUGAACCGUGAGG